rnacentral:misc_RNA from 1 species
GAUGAAGAACGCAGCGAAAUGCGAUAAGUAAUGCGAAUUGCAGAAUUCAGUGAGUCAUCGAAUCUUUGAACGCACAUUGCGCCCUUUGGUAUUCCGGAGAGCAUGCUUGUUUGAGUAUCAGUAAACACCUCAACUUCCAUAUCUUUUUUGAAAUGGGAGUUGGACUUGAGUGAUCCCAACGCUUUUCCUCACCGAAAAGUGGCGGGUUACUUGAAAUGCAGGUGCAGCUGGACUUUUCUCUGAGCUAUAAGCAUAUCUAUUUAGUCUGCCUAAAAAACAGAUUAUUACCUUUGCUGCAGCUAACAUAAAGGAGAUUAGUUCUUGUGCUGACUGAUGCAGGAUUCACAAAGACAGGCUUCGGCCGACUUUGUAAACUCGAUCUCAAAUCAAGUAAGACUACCCGCUGAACUUAAGCAUAUCAAUAAGCGGAGGA